rnacentral:rRNA from 1 species
AAUUUGAGAUUGAUUUAAACAGGGACCAUGUAUGACCAAUAAUGUUCAAUAUCAUUGUGCACCCAC